rnacentral:rRNA from 1 species
AUUGAACGCUGGCGGCAGGCCUAACACAUGCAAGUCGAGCGGAUGAAGAGAGCUUGCUCUCUGAUUUAGCGGCGGACGGGUGAGUAAUGCCUAGGAAUCUGCCUGGUAGUGGGGGAUAUCGUUCCGAAAGGAACGCUAAUACCGCAUACGUCCUACGGGAGAAAGCAGGGGACCUUCGGGCCUUGCGCUAUCAGAUGAGCCUAGGUCGGAUUAGCUAGUUGGUGAGGUAAUGGCUCACUAAGGCGACGAUCCGUAACUGGUCUGAGAGGAUGAUCAGUCACACUGGAACUGAGACACGGUCCAGACUCCUACGGGAGGCAGCAGUGGGGAAUAUUGGACAAUGGGCGAAAGCCUGAUCCAGCCAUGCCGCGUGUGUGAAGAAGGUCUUCGGAUUGUAAAGCACUUUAAGUUGGGAGGAAGGGCAUUAACCUAAUACGUUAGUGUUUUGACGUUACCAACAGAAUAAGCACCGGCUAACUUCGUGCCAGCAGCCGCCGUAAAAC